AAGAACUUGCUGCUGCUGUCUCCGUAAGAUCCAAGUGCGGAGAGUUCCCGUGAUGGAACUGCUGAUGGUUCAACCCUUUAAAGUUCAGGUUUCUGUCUAAGGAAGUUUCUGCGUUCAUAUACCUACCCUCUUUCAAGUCUCUUCCAAGGUCAAUUUGAUCUCUAUCACUUUUCACUAUAUCUGGCAAUUUCUCAGCAGCGACACCCCUAUCGUUUAAGUCCCUAACUAGGUUAAAUCGAGCUCUGACUCUUUUAACUAUAUCCAUCAUCACAUUUUUUGUAUCAACACUCCCCUCGUUCAAGUCUCUUUCAAGGUUAAUUUGAUCUCUGCCACUUUUAAUUUUAUCAGGCACUAUUUUGCCAUCAACGAUACUCUCGUUCAAGUCUCUUUCAAGGUUAAUUUGAUCUCUUCCACUUUUUGUUAUGACUGGAAUUUUGUCAGCAUCAAAAGUCCCCUUGUUCAAGUCCCUUUCAAGGUUAAUUUGAUCUCUGCCACUUUCCAUUAUGUCGGGCACUUUUUCAACAUCAAAACUUCCCUCAUUCAAAUCUUCCUCAAGGUUAAUUUGACCUCUACCACAUUUCAUUAUAACUGGCACUUUUCCAGAAUCAACACUCCCCUCAUCAUGAGCACCUUCAUUGCCAACAGGGAAAUUCUUCAAUGAUGAACUAUCUUCUCCAAGUGAAGCAUCUCCAUUCAUUUCUGACGUCCCACCUUUGCUACAACUGAUGCUGGUUCUAGUUGCUUGAAGAGAAGAUUUGACCUCUGUGCCUAGUCCACCCUCUGCAAGAUUACAUUCUUCCUGCAAAGUAAUUGAUAAAAUAUCAAUGUGUUUAGUAAAGACUUGUAACCAUAACACUUCAAAGUGAACAAAAUAAAACAUUUGAAACCAGGUCAAUAACAAGGAGAAUAAGCAACAAAGAAUCUGUCAGAAAACAGUGCAAAACAUUUGGACCACAAAUUCAUACAUACUACCAGAUAGAAUAGUAAAUAGGAUCUGCAAACGAUCGCAUGGAGCUCCAAACAUCACGCAAAGCAAAUAAACAUUACAAACGGCCAACCUGAGGGCAGCCAGCAGUUGAAUUUGAAAAUUUAUCUGUCAGAUCGGCCGAGUAAUUAGAAGCAUAGAUUGAUUUCUAAGAUUGAAAGGUAGAAAAUGUACAAACUAUCGCGUUUAAUUCCUGUAGUUGUUAACUAUAUAUUUCAGAUAAUUCCUAAAGAUAUAAUUCCUGUAGUUGUUAACUAUAUAUUUCAGAUAAUUCCUACAGAUAUAAGAACACAAUCAACAGACCAGAUAGGUUGGUAUGAUCAUUUACUAUGCAUGAGGGCAUGAAUAUAUAGAAACCUAGUAAUUGCUUAAUGAAACAACCAUGAUGCGCUUGACACAUUGGUUUUCUAAUAUACAAACAUGUCCCAAAUCAGGGUUCUUUUUUUUUUUUUUAUAAUUUUGUUUUACUAUACAAACAUGUCCCAAAUCAGGGUUCUUUUUUUUUUUUUUUAUAAUUUUGUUUUACAACAAAUUUGAAUGAACAAUUUAUAUAGGAAAAUAAGAAUUAUAUACAUGGUAAGGGACAAGCUUCCUGUGCAGACAAAACAGGAAAACAAAUCCCAACCCAAUAUCAAAUUAGGAAUCCAAUUAGAAAACACAAAAACCAAAAAAUGCUCUAUAAAACAAAAACCAAAAACAGAAACAUCCAUAUGGAAGUUAACAUUACCAGGGGAGGCCUUGCACAUCUUAUUUCUCCAGACAACAGUGGAACAGUCAUUGCAGCC
rnacentral:lncRNA from 1 species